CUGCUCUUUCUUUAGGAGCUGGUGUCGGUACUCCUGAGCUCUUCGAUUGGCCUCCUGGAGCUGCUGCUGUAGGAGCUCUCUUUUGGUGCCCUCCUGUAAAAGGAAACCACAUCACCGCCAGAUAUUUAAGAGAGAAAGAAGUCCUUGUGGGAAGAAGGAGGGGAAUGGGAUAAUCUCUGCUGGCUCAAGGAAAUCUGUGAGAACAGAAGAAAGGUAACGAGAAGGAGAAAUGGAAUUGAAGAAACCACAGUAUGACGACCCAUUUUUCUUUUUCUCUUGCACACGUCUCCACCGGGCAGCCAGCUGUACAAACAACUGUGCCACAAAUGAGGGCGGGGCCCUUACUGCUCUUGCAGAUUACUAAGCUCCCUCAAAAUCUUUAAGCUACUACUGAAGGCAGACAGUUGAGAGUCCCCGUUUUUUCCUCCAUCACAAACCCUCCAGUUGCAGACAGCAACAUUGUCCUUCAGGAAGAAGAGUCAAUGGGGGUAGUAAGCCAAGGUCUUGGCCCGGCGGGGGGCGCUGAGCUCCGCGCUGCCCCCUAGCGGUCACCUCUGUGGCCCUAGCUUCCCUGGGUCCAGCUCCCCAGCCCCAGGUCUUACACCCACCCCCUUCUUCACCUCCUCUCAGUCCCCUCCCCUUCCUCCCGGCCGCAUCCCCUUCCUCUUCGUCCCCCUCCCCGAGCUGCCCCCGCUCCGGUGAAGGGGCGCCGCUCAGUCUGCACCCAGAAGUUCGGGGGUGGGCUGGGCGCCGUGCGCCUUCCCACGGCAGUCUCCCUUCCAGCCCUCACGCCCCCCAGAGUACACAUCUUCUUCCCCCUCACCUCCUCGUCCGGGACGCUGCCGGCCGCGCUUUCACCGAGCCCGCCAGUUUGGUCCCGUUUCCUUCUCUAGUUAAGACUCCCUGUCACUGACGGUUACUUUUUGGCCUUUUCAUAUAUGCAUAUUUUGGGGGCCUUUAACCCCCCCUCGUGGAGAAAUGGAGGCAACAAGAUGGCGGACCCGGAAGUGAAGACUCAGCGAAUACAAUUUCUGGCGGAGGGAUCUGUGAGGAGACAAUGACCAGAAAACCCACAUUUCCAUUAGAACCGAAGAGCGGCGCACCUCCGAGGCUCAUUUUUUUUCCACCGAUGGCCUUUUGAAGUGGAAAAGCGUGUAUCCGAGACGACCCAGAGAGGACUAUUUGGCGAGGCGGAGGAUUGUUGUUACGUGUCUUACGUGUCGUGUAGUUCCGGUAGGGGGAUGGACCCGAUGGUUUGUUUUGGCGCCAAGAGGCCGGCGUCGUGCAGAGGGCAAAUCGGUAUCAGCGUCGAUCCUGUACCCUCUUGGUAACUUGUCUGGGGGCCAGCCUUAGGAUUGAUGGGAAAACUUUCUCUGUCUCAGCCUCCGGUGAAACUGUUGGAGACGUUCCUGGCUUUGUGCUCAAGUUGAGCCCUGGUGUGUGCUCAGAAUAGUGGAACAAAUAAUGGAGGCUUUUUUGAGGGGCCUGGAAGGGCAUGCAGCUUGAGUUUGCAAACCCACUUAACGCAUUUUACUUACCAGAUGAUUCUCACCUUCGCCCACCGAUCGCCACUACCUAAGGGCAGCGAGAAAUCGGGAAAGAAGCCCUUCAAAAGUACGUGAACGUAGAAAAGGACACAUUUCGGCUCUACUUUCAUUAGAUCUUGGCUUUUGUCGGUUUUGGUGGGCCUUUCAAAGCCAACUGUUUUCGCGUCUACCUCCUUUUCUGAACUUGGUAGUGCCAUCUUUAAAGUAUGGCAUACUCCCCAAGUAUGAUCCACCUUGGUAUUUACAGCUUCCCUUUUUUUGAGAGUCAAAAUCUUGUUUCAUUGCCGUGUGUAUCCUUUUAUAUCUCCUGGCUCAUUGCCUUUCGUAUAGUAAGGACCCAAAAAUGACCAGUGGGGCUUUGUUUUGAAUGAGUUGAGUUAUAAAUAAGCAGAUAACGUAUUUGGAUGACUUAGUUUCUUUUUUUAAGGCAUCUAUACUGAGAUCAUUAAGAGCACGGUUCGUGCCACAGAUGCCUUCUGAGACAUCUAGAAUUACUCCCUCAGUAUGUUGGUAGCCAAUGGUCAAGCAGAAGAGUGGUUGUUUGCAUUUCUUCCUAAAUAGCUUUGUAAUUUUAAGUUGAUUUCACCCUUAUUGAUACCUAUCCAACCUGAUAUUCAUCAUUUUUAAUGUACAAAGGCUACUAAAAGAACUCUUAUUGAAAGACAAUAUAUAAGCUGAAGGUGAAAGCAAGGCUAAUUUCGGAGAUCUAUACCGCUUCUCUUUGAAGAGAGAGAAAACUAGAAUCCAGGCCUGGGAUUGAAUGUCUUUAUUCAAGAAAUGAGAAAAUGGCAGCACAGAUCAGCAGCAAUAAUUUUGGAAGGAAUGGGGGUACGAGGUGUAGGGUCAUAAUGUGAUUAUUUCAAGGUCUCAAGGUAGCUGAGGAACUGUGCCUGAGGCCCAUUGAUCAGUAUUCUCCAUUGCAGACGCAGGAGGUGGCAAGACUAAAACACUAAAGGCCAAACCCUAUUAUGCCUUUUAGAAACAGAAUCAUACCUUACAAAUUAUCAUAGUACUCAGCAAGAUUACAUUUUAGGAUUUGAAAUUGGAGUCAUUUCCUUCAGCUAGCGUUAGGAGCAAAGUUGUAAAGUGCAAAGGUUUGAAGGACUACCCCUUUGACAAUAUAGUUAUUUCUGAAACGAUUCAAUUCUUUCCCUUAUUUUCGUUUUCCAUGAGGUAUUAUCACCUCUUGUUUUAUACCUUUCAUUACACCCGAUUUCUCUGAGGAAAAGAAGGUAUUGUAAGGAGCAAGAUCCAACAGCGAGACUUAACACCUUAACAGCCUUUUAGAAAUCCUACUGUCUCAUAGUAGAUAAUCUCAAAGCUUCCAGGGUUUUCAGCGACUGUUGAAGAAAGAUUUGUGUUUACCGAUCUGGAGCAGGAUAUUAGGUUUGAGCAAUCUCUGAAGAAGAUUAAAAUGAAAAAAAAAAAAAAUUGUCCCCCAUUUUGAACUACUAUACUACUCUCUGGCGCCCCCCACCAGGCUUCUUUCUGGAAUUAGUGUCUGGGGGGAUAACUUUGGGGCUUAAGGGCUUUUGAGAAAAACUGAUAACAUAAAUAAAUAAAUAAAU